GGAAAGAAGUCUCAACAGGUGUACUGCAUCAAAUGGAGCAUACUUUGAAGGAAAGGGCUGCCUGGUUGAAGACCCAAUCAAUGUGCCACCUGCAGUCUGCCUUCAUCUACAUCGCAAAGCCAAGUUCAUCACUGAAGCUUUUCAAAAGGUGCUGAUGGCAUAGACGAGGCCAUAUGACACAGUUCCUGCAAUGGAGACCUUACUGCAAUGAGUGGUCUCCUCUGAAGGAAAAUGCUUCAUAAGCUUACACCCAACAAUUGCCAUUUGCACAGGUGCUGCCUGCAGGGACACGGGGCCAAUGUGAGCGGGCACAUGCAGCUGGCCCACAGAAGUCCUAGGGCCAGUUCCCUGUGCUCACUAAAAAGGUGGGGAAAGAGAGUGGACGCAGAGGUUGCAGAGUAAGGAAAACAGGUGACAACAAGACUGCCUCUACCCUGAGGCUGCACGAGGCCACACUCAGUUCAGGCGGACCUCACCGGGGUCUAGCACUUUAAAAUAUUAUUUGUAUGUUACUAAACAUGCAGCAAUUUUGUCAUUAAGAUCAUGGUCAGCUCUGGCCGGGUGGCGCAGUGAUUGGAGAAUCAUCCCUUGCAGCAAAGGGCUGUGGGUUCGCUCCCCGAUCAGAACACACCUGGGAGUUUCUCUCUCCGAUGUUUCUCUUUCUUUCCCCCACCCCCACUCCCCCUCUCUCUAAAAUCAAUAAACAUAUCCUCAGGUAAGGAUUAAAAAAAAA